rnacentral:rRNA from 1 species
GGGUUGUGAGGUUAAGCGACUAAGCGUACACGGUGGAUGCCCUGGCAGUCAGAGGCGAUGAAGGGCGUGCUAAUCUGCGAUAAGCGCCGGUAAGGUGAUAUGAACCGUUAUAACCGGCGAUACCCGAAUGGGGAAACCCAGUGUGAUUCGUCACACUAUCAUUAACUGAAUCCAUAGGUUAAUGAGGCGAACCGGGGGAACUGAAACAUCUAAGUACCCCGAGGAAAAGAAAUCAACCGAGAUUCCCCCAGUAGCGGCGAGCGAACGGGGAGGAGCCCAGAGCCUGAAUCAGCAUGUGUGUUAGUGGAAGCGUCUGGAAAGGCGCGCGAUACAGGGUGACAGCCCCGUACACAAAAGCGCAUGUGCUGUGAGCUCGAUGAGUAGGGCGGGACACGUGGUAUCCUGUCUGAAUAUGGGGGGACCAUCCUCCAAGGCUAAAUACUCCUGACUGACCGAUAGUGAACCAGUACCGUGAGGGAAAGGCGAAAAGAACCCCGGCGAGGGGAGUGAAAAAGAACCUGAAACCGUGUACGUACAAGCAGUGGGAGCNNNNNNNNNNNNNNNNNNNNNNNNNCCUUUUGUAUAAUGGGUCAGCGACUUAUAUUCUGUAGCAAGGUUAACCGAAUAGGGGAGCCGGAGGGAAACCGAGUCUUAAUUGGGCGUUAAGUUGCAGGGUAUAGACCCGAAACCCGGUGAUCUAGCCAUGGGCAGGUUGAAGGUUGGGUAACACUAACUGGAGGACCGAACCGACUAAUGUUGAAAAAUUAGCGGAUGACCUGUGGCUGGGGGUGAAAGGCCAAUCAAACCGGGAGAUAGCUGGUUCUCCCCGAAAGCUAUUUAGGUAGCGCCUCGUGAAUUCAUCUCCGGGGGUAGAGCACUGUUUCGGCUAGGGGGCCAUCCCGGCUUACCAACCCGAUGCAAACUGCGAAUACCGGAGAAUGUUAUCACGGGAGACACACGGCGGGUGCUAACGUCCGUCGUGAAGAGGGAAACAACCCAGACCGCCAGCUAAGGUCCCAAAGUCAUGGUUAAGUGGGAAACGAUGUGGGAAGGCCCAGACAGCCAGGAUGUUGGCUUAGAAGCAGCCAUCAUUUAAAGAAAGCGUAAUAGCUCACUGGUCGAGUCGGCCUGCGCGGAAGAUGUAACGGGGCUAAACCAUGCACCGAAGCUGCGGCAGCGACACUGUGUGUUGUUGGGUAGGGGAGCGUUCUGUAAGCCUGUGAAGGUGUGUCGUGAGGCAUGCUGGAGGUAUCAGAAGUGCGAAUGCUGACAUAAGUAACGAUAAAGCGGGUGAAAAGCCCGCUCGCCGGAAGACCAAGGGUUCCUGUCCAACGUUAAUCGGGGCAGGGUGAGUCGACCCCUAAGGCGAGGCCGAAAGGCGUAGUCGAUGGGAAACGGGUUAAUAUUCCCGUACUUGGUGUUACUGCGAAGGGGGGACGGAGAAGGCUAUGUUGGCCGGGCGACGGUUGUCCCGGUUUAAGCGUGUAGGUGUGUGUUCCAGGUAAAUCCGGUUCACUUUAACACUGAGGCGUGACGACGAGGCACUACGGUGCUGAAGCAACAAAUGCCCUGCUUCCAGGAAAAGCCUCUAAGCAUCAGGUAACAUCAAAUCGUACCCCAAACCGACACAGGUGGUCAGGUAGAGAAUACCAAGGCGCUUGAGAGAACUCGGGUGAAGGAACUAGGCAAAAUGGUGCCGUAACUUCGGGAGAAGGCACGCUGACACGUAGGUGAAGUGAUUUACUCAUGGAGCUGAAGUCAGUCGAAGAUACCAGCUGGCUGCAACUGUUUAUUAAAAACACAGCACUGUGCAAACACGAAAGUGGACGUAUACGGUGUGACGCCUGCCCGGUGCCGGAAGGUUAAUUGAUGGGGUCAGCGCAAGCGAAGCUCCUGAUCGAAGCCCCGGUAAACGGCGGCCGUAACUAUAACGGUCCUAAGGUAGCGAAAUUCCUUGUCGGGUAAGUUCCGACCUGCACGAAUGGCGUAAUGAUGGCCAGGCUGUCUCCACCCGAGACUCAGUGAAAUUGAACUCGCUGUGAAGAUGCAGUGUACCCGCGGCAAGACGGAAAGACCCCGUGAACCUUUACUAUAGCUUGACACUGAACAUUGAGCCUUGAUGUGUAGGAUAGGUGGGAGGCUUUGAAGUGUGGACGCCAGUCUGCAUGGAGCCGACCUUGAAAUACCACCCUUUAAUGUUUGAUGUUCUAACGUGGACCCGUUACCCGGGUUGCGGACAGUGUCUGGUGGGUAGUUUGACUGGGGCGGUCUCCUCCUAAAGAGUAACGGAGGAGCACGAAGGUUGGCUAAUCCUGGUCGGACAUCAGGAGGUUAGUGCAAUGGCAUAAGCCAGCUUGACUGCGAGCGUGACGGCGCGAGCAGGUGCGAAAGCAGGUCAUAGUGAUCCGGUGGUUCUGAAUGGAAGGGCCAUCGCUCAACGGAUAAAAGGUACUCCGGGGAUAACAGGCUGAUACCGCCCAAGAGUUCAUAUCGACGGCGGUGUUUGGCACCUCGAUGUCGGCUCAUCACAUCCUGGGGCUGAAGUAGGUCCCAAGGGUAUGGCUGUUCGCCAUUUAAAGUGGUACGCGAGCUGGGUUUAGAACGUCGUGAGACAGUUCGGUCCCUAUCUGCCGUGGGCGCUGGAGAACUGAGGGGGGCUGCUCCUAGUACGAGAGGACCGGAGUGGACGCAUCACUGGUGUUCGGGUUGUCAUGCCAAUGGCACUGCCCGGUAGCUAAAUGCGGAAGAGAUAAGUGCUGAAAGCAUCUAAGCACGAAACUUGCCCCGAGAUGAGUUCUCCCUGAGACUUAGAGUCUCCUGAAGGAACGUUGAAGACGACGACGUUGAUAGGCCGGGUGUGUAAGCGCAGCGAUGCGUUGAGCUAACCGGUACUAAUGAACCGUGAGGCUUAACCUUACAACGCCGAAG